rnacentral:rRNA from 1 species
GACGAACGCUGGCGGCGUGCUUAACACAUGCAAGUCGAACGAAGAGCGAUGGACGCUUGCUUCUAUCAAUCUUAGUGGCGAACGGGUGAGUAACGCGUAAUCAACCUGCCCUUCAGAGGGGGACAACAGUUGGAAACGACUGCUAAUACCGCAUACGAUCUAAUCUCGGCAUCGAGGAUAGAUGAAAGGUGGCCUCUACAUGUAAGCUAUCACUGAAGGAGGGGAUUGCGUCUGAUUAGCUAGUUGGAGGGGUAACGGCCCACCAAGGCGAUGAUCAGUAGCCGGUCUGAGAGGAUGAACGGCCACAUUGGGACUGAGACACGGCCAGACUCCUACGGGAGGCAGCAGUGGGGAAUCUUCCGCAAUGGACGAAAGUCUGACGGAGCAACGCCGCGUGAGUGAUGACGGCCUUCGGGUUGUAAAGCUCUGUUAAUCGGGACGAAAGGCCUUCUUGCGAAUAGUGAGAAGGAUUGACGGUACCGGAAUAGAAAGCCACGGCUAACUACGUG